AUAACGUAUUACUAUGCUAAUAAGUCUUGCUGCAAUGUUGCGAUGAUUAUAGACGAUAAAAGGAAUUGAUUACAAGGCAUAAAAUAUAUACAUGCAUGCGUUUACGUGCGAGGAAGCUCCUGGAGACAUGUAUUCAAAGUCACCAUGGCUACUGUCAAAUCUGGCGACUUCGAAGUUUUAACGCAAUAAGGGUCGGAUCGAUUUUAUCGUUUCAUCAUUUGCUUUAAAAUAUUAACUGUGGUUUCUUCAUUUUUAUUCUCAACUGUUGGAUCCAUUUAAUUGGGAUAUCUCGCCUAGGAUUGCAGAACAUAUUCAAAAUGGAGUUUUACGGACGAAAAUGUUUGUCUUGGAUUACAGAUGCCAUAAACUGCUUCUACCUAGUUCAUGCAGAUGCUAUUUUGAUUUCAAUGUAUCUUACUAUCACUCAAAUAAAUUCUGUAAGUCACGUGUGCAAUAUUAUUCAUCAUCAACCGCCACUUUUUAUCCAGUGCUACUUUCGGGAGACGUGCAACCCAACCCAGGACCUCUAACUAACAUUAACAAUAACUCAUCAAGGAAAAAUAAUUAUGGUGACAGUAAGCGAAACAUAUCUUGCAUACUUUCAAACUGCCGUUGCAUUCGCAACAAAUCACUUGAUCUUGCCAUAUUCUGCACAUCUAAACCAUCUGGAUUAGACAUUAUCUGCGUUACCGAAACGUGGAUGCGGAGUUCUAAUGAUACUGCAAUGCUUCAUUUUGCCAAUCAGUAUGACAUUUUCCGAAGAGAUAGGAAUCAUCAAAAUUUGGGUGGUGGUAUCUUGAUUGGAAUCAAAUCAAACCAUACCUUACACCAAAAUUAAUUGACGUUGACCCCAGAAUCGAAAUGAUGUGGAUAUCAAUAUGCCAAGGUCACCUGUCGUGGCUCUUAGGGUUGGUCUAUAGGCCACCAGACUCUGCAGUUUCCUAUUGGACAGCCUUUGAAGAAUCAUUUGCCAGACUUGAGGCUGAAUUUAUCAAUUAUGAUGGCGUCAUCAUAUUAGGGGACUUCAAUACGCAUUGGCUUACUGCCCCACAUCAUCUAACUGAUAUUAUGGCAUCAUUUAACUUGAUCAGCUGGUUCAAGUUCCCACAAGACCUCAAUCAAAUACCAACGAUGGAUCUGUUAUAGACCUUGUGUUCUCCAACAAUUCUGAAAAGCUUAUCAAUUUGUGUGUUGUUGAAAACCCAGUGGAAAGUGACCACCUAGCUGUUGAGUUUGAGAUUAAUGUUCGCCAUUCCUUGCCAGCGAAAUCUACCAUGCGCUCGUUCUUGAAAUACAGCAAAGUUGACUUUGAUCAUUUGAAUCAACUUUUAUAUCUUUUUUUUCUCUUUCGUAGGAGUUUAACCCACUUUUAUUUCUUUCUCUUUUUGUUACUUUUCUUUUUUUUCUGCUUCUAAUACAUAUUUAAAAGAAAAUGAACAUACAAAAUAAAAACAAUUGCACUUAGGAGGGGUCAGUCCACAAUUGCUGACUAUCUUUCUUGUUUUUUUAACAUCCUUCCACUUGUAAUAAUUUCUAAAUAUGUUUUACCAAGAUAUAAUUAACAUUGUUAACAUCGUACAUUAAAGAAUUUCUUCAAGUCAUUUUCAUAAAAAAAAAA
rnacentral:lncRNA from 1 species